rnacentral:rRNA from 1 species
UAGGGAAUCUUCCACAAUGGACGCAAGUCUGAUGGAGCAACGCCGCGUGAGUGAAGAAGGCUUUCGGGUCGUAAAACUCUGUUGUUGGAGAAGAAUGGUCGGCAGAGUAACUGUUGUCGGCGUGACGGUAUCCAACCAGAAAGCCACGGCUAACUACGUGCCAGCAGCCGCGGUAAUACGUAGGUGGCAAGCGUUAUCCGGAUUUAUUGGGCGUAAAGCGAGCGCAGGCGGUUUUUUAAGUCUGAUGUGAAAGCCCUCGGCUUAACCGAGGAAGCGCAUCGGAAACUGGGAAACUUGAGUGCAGAAGAGGACAGUGGAACUCCAUGUGUAGCGGUGAAAUGCGUAGAUAUAUGGAAGAACACCAGUGGCGAAGGCGGCUGUCUGGUCUGUAACUGACGCUGAGGCUCGAAAGCAUGGGUAGCGAACAGGGUUAGAUACCCUGGUAGUCCAUGCCGUAAACGAUGAAUGCUAGGUGUUGGAGGGUUUCCGCCCU